rnacentral:ncRNA from 2 species
UAAUCAAUUGUAGUGAUUGAUUAUAUAAGUUCAUAAUACGGUUGAACGUAUCUACCAGCUACCUUUAGUUGACUAUAACAAUCCUGCAGCAGUGG